CUCCUACGGGAGGCAGCAGUGGGGAAUAUUGCACAAUAGGGCGCAACUCUACUGCAUCGACGCCGCGCUCUAGGGAUGACGCGCCUUCGGGUUGUAAACCUCUGUUAGCAGGGAAGAAGAGAAAUUGACGGUACCUGGCAGAGAGAGGCGGCGGCUAACUACGGUGGCCAGCAGCCGCGGAUAAUACGUAGGGCGCCGACGUUGUCCGGAAUUAUUGGGCGUAAAGAGCUUGCUAGGCGGUUUAUCGCGUCUGCUGUGAAAGGCCGGGGCUUAACCCCGCUGUAUUGCAGUGGGUACGGGCACACUAGAGUGCAGUAGGGGAGACUGGAAUUCCUGGUGUAGCGGUGGAAUGCGCAGAUAUCAGGAGGAACACCGAUGGCGAAGGCAGGUCUCUGGGCUGUAACUGACGCUGAGAAGCGAAAGCAUGGGGAGCGAACAGGAUUAGAUACCCUGGUAGUCCAUGCCGUAAACGUUGGGCACUAGGUGUGGGGGACAUUCCACGUUUUCCGCGCCGGUAGUAACCGCAUUAAGUGCCCCGCCUGGGGAGUACGGCCGCAAGGCUAAAACUCAAAGAAAUUGACGGGGGCCCGCACAAGCGGCGGAGCAUGCGGAUUAAUUCGAUGCAACGCGAAGAACCUUACCAAGGCUUGACAUAUACUGGACCGCAUCAGAGAUGGUGUUUCUUCGGGGCUGGUAUACAGGUGGUGCAUGGUUGUCGUCAGCUCGUGUCGUGAGAUGUUGGGUUAAGUCCCGCAACGAGCGCAACCCUCGUUCUAUGUUGCCAGCACGUUAUGGUGGGGACUCAUAGGAGACUGCCGGGGUCAACUCGGAGGAAGGUGGGGAUGACGUCAAAUCAUCAUGCCCCUUAUGUCUUGGGCUUCACGCAUGCUACAAUGGCCGGUACAGAGGGUUGCGAUACUGUGAGGUGGAGCUAAUCCCUAAAAGCCGGUCUCAGUUCGGAUUGGGGUCUGCAACUCGACCCCAUGAAGUCGGAGUCGCUAGUAAUCGCAGAUCAGCAACGCUGCGGUGAAUACGUUCCCGGGCCUUGUACACACCGC
rnacentral:rRNA from 1 species